rnacentral:lncRNA from 1 species
GUGUCCUCGUUUUAUCUGAGUGAGGAUUUGAUUUGUCUCGCUCCUCUUUCCGGACGAGCUGAGAUAGAUGCUCUUUCAGGUCUUCGUUUUAGGGUUCCAAACCUGACUCUAACAAGGCCUUUAUCGAAAAGCUUCAUCGCUCGGAUUUGUGUUGUGGCUGUUAACCCCUACACUGGGGAGCAAACUGCCUAUCUGGGAGGCUUUCGAUGGGCCUAUUGGGGUAAAAUUCUAACUUCCGCUGUUGGACCAAUACCCCCCUUGUAUUCCUCCAGGUCAAAUGAAAGUGUUGAUUUUUGUUCUUCUCUAUCUGCUAUUAAUACGUAUAUCGCCCUCCUGAGAGGAAUAUUUUAUCCAUUAAAGGAGCACCUCAACAGCAGGAGCUGGUAUGGACUUUGCUUCCCUCCGUGGAUGAACCGUCUUGAUUCAUUCCUUUUCUUCCGUCAUUUAUGCACUUCUUUAGGAAAGAGCUUUGAGACUUCCUGCCCAAGGAGAUAA